UACCGGGUGACCGGAUGCCGAUCUCGAAAACCUGUCCCAGUUCGGACUGGAGUCUGCAACCCGACUCCACGAAGUUGGAUUCGCUAGUAAUCGCGCAUCAGCCAUGGCGCGGUGAAUACGUUCCCGGGCCUUGUACACACCGCCCGUCAAGCCAUGGGAGCCGGGGGCGCCUGAAGUCCGGGACCGCGAGGACCGGCCUAAGGCGAAACUGGUGACUGGGGCUAAGUCGUAACAAGGUAGC
rnacentral:rRNA from 1 species